UACCUUCGGCAGAGUUCUUGGUUGCCAUUGAAACCUUGCGCAUGACCUAAUCUCCAAGUCUGAAGGCACGGGGCAGCACACAAGAGUUGUAGUACUUGGCAACACAUUGCUUGUAAGCAAACUUGCACAUGUUGGCCUGGUCACAAAGCUCUCAAUGAGGUCUAGGUUUAGAGCCAGCUGCUCGUCGUUAGCUCCAGCGUCAAAUCCUGAUUUUCGGUAGGAAGGCUGGCCAAUUUCCAUUGGUACAACAGCUUCAGUACCAAAGUGGUUACUUUUUUAUUUAGGCACUAUUCCUCUUUAAUAGAGAAAUGCAAGUGGGAGUUUGGGCAAAUUUUUGAUGUGGGACUUUGUUCAAACCAUUGAGGUGGUGCCACGUGUCCAAGACUUAGGUUCUAUACUUCAAGAGCUUUGUCCAUCGCCUUCGGUAGGCAAUUUCCGUAUCGGAGGAAAGUGUCUCUUAGGCAGGCUGGGAUCAUGAUGAUGUCAUCAGUGUUUUAGGGAUUGGCUUAGAAGUGUUUUACCUUUAGCAAGUUGUGGGUCUGUCUACAUGCUAGUCUCCUAGUGUCGAAUGUGCUCGAUUGAUUAUGGUACAAACAAUAAUUCUAACAUAUAUCUCAUGCUCACAAGUUUACAUUAAUGUUUAUAACCAAGUGUCUUAUUAAUUACAUAGUCUUUAAAUAAUUCUUGAUGAAACUCAUCUUCUACCAUUUUUGUGGAAUAUGAAUUCCAUGAUCUAUAUGAACUAUUCUUCACAACCUGAAAUUGAAGAGAGAACAACUGAACCGACUAAGAGAUUUUGAAGAGUUAGAGUUCUUGGACUUAGGUCACAUUACCUUUGUUAGUUGCAGGUGUUGGCUAUUUAUAUUGUUUCUUUUUAGCAUGGUUGUUCCUAAGCGUUUGUCAAUUGGUUGGUUGAUCUCAUUAUGGUACCAAUCAUGCCGAUUAGUAGUUUGGUUUAGAAUAGGGGAUCGUUAUCUAAUUGAUGAAUAACGUGUAUCCAGGGAUUACCAUUUGGCCCACGGCUCAUGGGGCGAAGUUAGUAAUCCGAGGUCCGAUGGACAAAAGUCUGGCCCGGCCCUUUAUUUGGGCCCGCUCUAAGAUUGGAUAGGGCUUGGGCCAACAAUUUGAAACCUUGGCCAUGAAUUCUAGGCCUGACUCGAUUAAGUCCGAAUAGGGCCAACCCGGCACGACCACAAAUAUAAUAAUUCUCUCAAAUUUCAAGCUCCAAUUUCUCAAUCUCUCUAAAUCCUCAUUUCUUUGGCGGUGAUGCGCUCAUUCUUUUAGUUUCUCAAAUUUCAAGCUCCAAUUUUUUCAGUCUCUCUAAGUUCUCAUCCUUCGUGGUGGUUGGUGAUCUCAUUCCUUUGUAAUAUAAAAUUAUAAAAGAUUUAGAAAAAAUAAAAAUAUAAGUAAACAAAAGAAAAAAAAAGGCCCGACUCGUCUAGGUCCAUGGGCAGCCCCGGACGGUGACAUUUGAAACCUUGGCCAGGCCCAGCGCAACCCAAAAAUUUUUCAAAAAAAAAAAAAAAACCCAUAAGGCUCGUCCCAGCCCGACCCAAUGAUGAACCGUAACUAAGACACAUACAACAAUGUGGAAAACCAAUUAUUGAACACUUUGCAAUUAGCUCUCUUAAUUUCUUCAUUCAGUUCUCAAGGCCUCGCUUGUUUGAGCCCGUCUAGGGCCGACUCGGUUAAUAUUUGAAACAUGCUCUAGUGUAAGAGAACCAAAACAACAUAAGAAUUUCUAAUUCAUGACUCAAACUAAGAUCACCAUCUCGCCUACGGCCCAUUGUUCGAAGUCGGUAGUACGAGACAUGAUCCAAAGCUCAACCCUGCCCGUUGUUUAGGCACGUUCGGCCCAUCCCGCUCUAAGAUUGGAUAGGGCUUGGGCUAAGGGUUUGAAAUCUUAGUUAGGCUCGUAACCCGAGCCUAGUUAAG
rnacentral:lncRNA from 1 species